AUGCUUAGGGCUGUUUUGAAGAAUAAUAAGAAAAUAUGGAAAGAAUGCUUGCCUCAUAUUGAAUUUGCUUAUAAUCGUUCAUUGCAUUCUACUACUAAGAUGUGCCCUUUUGAAAUUGUGUAUGGUUUCCUACCUCGUGCAUCUAUUGAUUUGUUGCCUCUUCCAUCUUCGGAGAAGGUUAAUUUUGAUGCUAAAGAACGUGUUGAAUUGAUUUUAAAAAUGCAUGAGUUAACUAAGGAAAACAUUGAGCUUAUGAAUGCUAAAUAUAAACUUGCUGGAGAUAAGGGUAGAAAACAUGUUGUGUUUGCACCUGGAGAUCUUGUUUGGUUACAUUUGCGUAAGGAUAGAUUUCCUAAUUUGUGCAAAUCAAAGCUAAUGCCACGUGUUGAUGGUCCUUUUAAGGUGUUAGAGAAAAUAAAUGAUAAUGCAUAUAAACUUGAGCUACCUACAGAUUUUGGGGUUAGUCCCACUUUUAACAUUGCAGAUUUGAAGCCUUAUUUGGGUGAGGAAGAUGAGCUUCCGUCGAGGACGACUUCAUUUCAAGAAGGGGAGGAUGAUGAGGACAUCAAUACCAUUGUUACACCCACAGCCCCUACUGUUACAUAUACUGGACCAAUUACUAGAGCUCGUGCACGCCAAUUAAAUUACCAGGUACUUCCGUUUCUUGGUAAUGAUUCUAAUGUUCAUGAGAAUAUGAUGCUGCCUAAAUUGGAUACAUUUGUUUUGCUUACAAAUGAAGGGCCUAGCUUGGAGAAGGAUGAACAUUGGAGCAAGAACACGCAUGGAGUUGAUGGCAUGCGCAAGGGGAUCAAGAACGGAGUUACAAGUGAUGAUUUCAGGACUUUGAAGCCACCAUAA
rnacentral:rRNA from 1 species